rnacentral:rRNA from 1 species
UACGGGGGGGGCAAGCGUUGUUCGGAAUUACUGGGCGUAAAGGGCUCGUAGGUGGCCAACUAAGUCAGACGUGAAAUCCCUCGGCUUAACCGGGGAACUGCGUCUGAUACUGGAUGGCUAGAGUUUGGGAGAGGGAUGCGGAAUUCCAGGUGUAGCGGUGAAAUGCGUAGAUAUCAGGAAGAACACCGGUGGCGAAGGCGCUCUGCUAGGCCGCAACUGACACUGAGGGACGAAAGCUAGGGGAGCGAAUGGG